rnacentral:lncRNA from 1 species
CAAAGACAAAAAUUAAAUCAGUAAGGAAUACAGCAUGUAAAUAAUUUCAAGUGGUAAUAGGGGAAGUAAUUUCACAUAAAUCUGCUUUGAAAUUACUAAUCUGGAAUUCCUAACAUGUUAAAACUGGUAUCAUUAGUGGAGUCUAGCGUGGUAACCACCUAACACACAAAACAAGAGUUUCAGCAUGAAAGCAGAGGCUGCUUUCGGCACUAAAGUCACAAGAGCUUUUGUACAUUACUCUUCCUUAAGAAUCUGGAUUUUCAAGUGUGAAUGAAUUAACAGAACACAGACCUAUGUAAGGUAAACUACACCUCCUGUACUCUAAACGUGUCUUUCAAAAGGAUGUAAAAUGAACCCCCUGCAAUUCGAACCUACCAGCAGCCAGCUCUGCUCAUCAGAAGCCUUCAACCUUCCAUAACAUAACAGUGAUCUAAACAUCCAACAGCCCUCUGAUGACUGUAUCUCUGUUUAUGUCCGUGAAGAAACCUCCUGCUAAUUCAGCUGUCAAAUAUUUUUUUUUCUCUUUGAUUUCUGCUUAGGCUGUAAAUACAAGCUGGCAAAUCCGAAGAGGAGGAGAGUUUGCAGGCUUUCAGCAUCAUGCACUGGGUUUUAAAAUUAACUUGGGGGAAAGGAGACUGUCCACAUGUUCCCCUCCCUCCCUUCAUCACGUCUGAGCUCCAGGGAAACCAGAGGACUGGGAGAGGUGGCAGAUCCGCAAAGUUCCCCACAGACCUGUUGCUAAGUCACAGCCUCGCACAGUUCUGGGGGAAAGACGGCCAUUCACUUCUGCAGUCAAGAAAUAAACAACGAGCCUCCCGCAGACGCCUCACAGCAGCAUCUCCUUCCACCAACACCAGCAAAGCGCCUCUGCUACCAAGGCAGCUCCAGAUGCAUCCUUCUGCCCCUGAAGAUACACAGGAACCCAAGGACUCCAGACGGGACGAGUUACAGGAGCUGAGGCUCCCUUAGUGCCUCUCCUGCCGGCACAGCCGUGCCUGCCCGCCCACAGCAGGAGGACACCGCAUCCCCCUGCAGGCAGACGCAGCGCAGGCUGACAGCUCUACCACAACCAAGACCCCCUCUCUUUUUUCAG